GUCCUCAUAGCUCAAUGGAUAGAGCGUUGGUCUCCGAAGCCAGAGAUCCAGGUUCGAUUCCUGGUGGGGACA
rnacentral:tRNA from 1 species